rnacentral:rRNA from 1 species
UACAGAGGUCCCAAGCGUUGUUCGGAUUCACUGGGCGUAAAGGGUGCGUAGGCGGUGAGGUAAGUCGGAUGUGAAAUCUCCGAGCUCAACUCGGAAAUGGCAUUGGAAACUACCUUGCUCGAGGGUUGGAGGGGGGACUGGAAUGCUUGGUGUAGCAGCGAAAUGCGUAGAUAUCAAGCGGAACACCAGUGGCGAAGGCGAGUCCCUGGACAACUCCUGACACUGAGGCACGAAAGCUAGGGGAGCGAACGGG